rnacentral:tRNA from 1 species
CAAAACGUAGCUUAACGUAAAGCGCCUCGCUUACACCGAGGACACGUCUGUGAAAACCAGACCAUUUUGA